AGAGUUUGAUCAUGGCUCAGUACGAACGCUGGCGGCGUGCCUCAUACAUGCAAGUGGCACGCAUGAUUGAUACCGGAGCUUGCUCCACCAUUAAUCAUGAGUCGCGAACGGGUGAGUAACGCGUAGGUAACCUACCUCAUAGCGGGGGAUAACUAUUGGAAACGAUAGCUAAUACCGCAUAACAGUCUUUAACCCAUGUUAGAGACUUAAAAGGAGCAAUUGCUUCACUAUGAGAUGGACCUGCGUUGUAUUAGCUAGUUGGUGAGGUAAAGGCUCACCAAGGCGACGAUACAUAGCCGACCUGAGAGGGUGAUCGGCCACACUGGGACUGAGACACGGCCCAGACCCCUACGGGAGGCAGCAGUAGGGAAUCUUCGGCAAUGGGGGGAACCCUGACCGAGCAACGCCGCGUGAGUGAAGAAGGUUUUCGGAUCGUAAAGCUCUGUUGUUAGAGAAGAACGUGUGUGAGAGUGGAAAGUUCACACAGUGACGGUAACUAACCAGAAAGGGACGGCUAACUACGUGCCAGCAGCCGCGGUAAUACGUAGGUCCCGAGCGUUGUCCGGAUUUAUUGGGCGUAAAGCGAGCGCAGGCGGUUCUGUAAGUCUGAAGUUAAAGGCAGUGGCUUAACCAUUGUACGCUUUGGAAACUGCAGGACUUGAGUGCAGAAGGGGAGAGUGGAAUUCCAUGUGUAGCGGUGAAAUGCGUAGAUAUAUGGAGGAACACCGGUGGCGAAAGCGGCUCUCUGGUCUGUAACUGACGCUGAGGCUCGAAAGCGUGGGGAGCAAACAGGAUUAGAUACCCUGGUAGUCCACGCCGUAAACGAUGAGUGCUAGGUGUUAGGCCCUUUCCGGGGCUUAGUGCCGUAGCU
rnacentral:rRNA from 1 species